AUUGAACGCUGGCGGCAUGCCUUACACAUGCAAGUCGAACGGCAGCACGGGAGCAAUCCUGGUGGCGAGUGGCGAACGGGUGAGUAAUAUAUCGGAACGUGCCCAGUCGUGGGGGAUAACGUAGCGAAAGCUACGCUAAUACCGCAUACGAUCUACGGAUGAAAGCGGGGGAUCGCAAGACCUCGCGCGAUUGGAGCGGCCGAUAUCAGAGUAGGUAGUUGGUGGGGUAAAGGCUCACCAAGCCGACGAUCUGUAGCUGGUCUGAGAGGACGACCAGCCACACUGGGACUGAGACACGGCCCAGACUCCUACGGGAGGCAGCAGUGGGGAAUUUUGGACAAUGGGCGCAAGCCUGAUCCAGCAAUGCCGCGUGCAGGAUGAAGGCCUUCGGGUUGUAAACUGCUUUUGUACGGAACGAAACGGCGAGCUCUAAUACAGUUUGCUAAUGACGGUACCGUAAGAAUAAGCACCGGCUAACUACGUGCCAGCCGCCGCGGUAA
rnacentral:rRNA from 1 species